UACGUAGGGGGCAAGCGUUGUCCGGAAUCAUUGGGCGUAAAGAGCGUGUAGGCGGCCAGAUAAGUCCGCUGUGAAAACUCGAGGCUCAACUUCGAGCUGUCGGCGGAAACUAUCUGGCUAGAGUCCGGAAGAGGAGAGUGGAAUUCCUGGUGUAGCGGUGAAAUGCGCAGAUAUCAGGAAGAACACCCGUGGCGAAGGCGGCUCUCUGGGACGGUACUGACGCUGAGGAGCGAAAGCGUGGGGAGCAAACAGG
rnacentral:rRNA from 1 species